rnacentral:rRNA from 1 species
GCCGGUGGCGGGUGCUUACACAUGCAGUCGAACGCUGAAGCACCAGCUUGCUGGUGUGGAUGAGUGGCGAACGGGUGAGUAAUACGUGAGUAACCUGCCCUUGACUCUGGGAUAAGCCCGGGAAACUGGGUCUAAUACUGGAUGCUACAUGUCACCGCAUGGUGGUGUGUGGAAAGGGUUUACUGGUCUUGGAUGGGCUCACGGCCUAUCAGCUUGUUGGUGAGGUAAUGGCUCACCAAGGCGACGACGGGUAGCCGGCCUGAGAGGGUGACCGGCCACACUGGGACUGAGACACGGCCCAGACUCCUACGGGAGGCAGCAGUGGGGAAUAUUGCACAAUGGGCGAAAGCCUGAUGCAGCGACGCCGCGUGAGGGAUGACGGCCUUCGGGUUGUAAACCUCUUUCAGCAGGGAAGAAGCCACAAGUGACGGUACCUGCAGAAGAAGCGCCGGCUAACUACGUGCCAGCAGCCGCGGUAAUACGUAGGGCGCAAGCGUUGUCCGGAAUUAUUGGGCGUAAAGAGCUCGUAGGCGGUUUGUCGCGUCUGCUGUGAAAGCCCGGGGCUUAACCCCGGGUGUGCAGUGGGUACGGGCAGACUAGAGUGCAGUAGGGGAGACUGGAAUUCCUGGUGUAGCGGUGGAAUGCGCAGAUAUCAGGAGGAACACCGAUGGCGAAGGCAGGUCUCUGGGCUGUUACUGACGCUGAGGAGCGAAAGCAUGGGGAGCGAACAGGAUUAGAUACCCUGGUAGUCCAUGCCGUAAACGUUGGGCACUAGGUGUGGGGGACAUUCCACGUUUUCCGCGCCGUAGCUAACGCAUUAAGUGCCCCGCCUGGGGAGUACGGCCGCAAGGCUAAAACUCAAAGGAAUUGACGGGGGCCCGCACAAGCGGCGGAGCAUGCGGAUUAAUUCGAUGCAACGCGAAGAACCUUACCAAGGCUUGACAUAUACCGGAUCGUUCCAGAGAUGGGUUCUUCCCCUUUGGGGUCGGUAUACAGGUGGUGCAUGGAUUGUCGUCAGCUCGUGUCGUGAGAUGUUGGGUUAAGUCCCGCAACGAGCGCAACCCUCGUUCCAUGUUGCCAGCACGUGAUGUGGGGACUCAUGAAGGACUGCCGGGGUCAACUCGGAGAAGGUGGGGAUGACGUCAAAUCAUCAUGCCCCUUUAUGUUCUUUGGGGUCUUUCCACGCAUGCCUACAAUGCUGAUUAACAAACGGUGCCGAAUACUGGUAGUGCACUAAUCUAAAAGGCCGGUCUCUCAGGAUUCGAGGU